AUUGAACGCUGGCGGAAUGCUUUACACAUGCAAGUCGAACGGCAGCACGGACUUCGGUCUGGUGGCGAGUGGCGAACGGGUGAGUAAUACAUCGGAACGUGCCCAGUCGUGGGGGAUAACGUAGCGAAAGCUACGCUAAUACCGCAUACGAUCUAAGGAUGAAAGCGGGGGAUCGCAAGACCUCGCGCGAUUGGAGCGGCCGAUGGCAGAUUAGGUAGUUGGUAGGGUAAAGGCCUACCAAGCCGACGAUCUGUAGCUGGUCUGAGAGGACGACCAGCCACACUGGGACUGAGACACGGCCCAGACUCCUACGGGAGGCAGCAGUGGGGAAUUUUGGACAAUGGACGCAAGUCUGAUCCAGCCAUUCCGCGUGCAGGAUGAAGGCCCUCGGGUUGUAAACUGCUUUUGUACAGAACGAAAAGGCUCUGGUUAAUACCUGGAGCUCAUGACGGUACUGUAAGAAUAAGCAUCGGCUAACUACGUGCCAGCAGCCGCGGUAA
rnacentral:rRNA from 1 species